ACUCCUACGGGAGGCAGCAGUGGGGAAUAUUGGACAAUGGGCGAAAGCCUGAUCCAGCCAUGCCGCGUGUGUGAAGAAGGCCCUCGGGUUGUAAAGCACUUUCAGUGAGGAAGAAUGCUUGUGGGUUAAUACCUGCAGAGAGACANCACUCACAGAAGAAGCACCGGCUAACUCCGUGCCAGCAGCCGCGGUAAUACGGAGGGUGCGAGCGUUAAUCGGAAUUACUGGGCG
rnacentral:rRNA from 1 species